rnacentral:pre_miRNA from 1 species
UAUGUACUCUUCCGUUCGGAAAUACUUGUUGAAGAAAUGAAUGUAUCUGAAAGUAUUUUAGUUCUAGAUACAUCUAUUUUUAUCUAUUUCUCCAAUAAUUAUUUUCGCACUGAAGGAGUAUUAU